AGAGUUUGAUCAUGGCUCAGAACGAACGCUGGCGGCAGGCUUAACACAUGCAAGUCGAACGGCUGUAGCAAUACAGCAGUGGCAGACGGGUGAGUAACACGUGGGAACCUUCCUAGGGGUACGGAACAACUCAGGGAAACUUGAGCUAAUACCGUAUACGUCCGUAAGGAGAAAGAUUCAUCGCCCCUAGACGGGCCCGCGUCGGAUUAGGUAGUUGGUGGGGUAACGGCCUACCAAGCCUGCGAUCCGUAGCUGAUCUGAGAGGAUGAUCAGCCACACUGGGACUGAGACACGGCCCAGACUCCUACGGGAGGCAGCAGUGGGGAAUCUUGGACAAUGGGCGCAAGCCUGAUCCAGCCAUGCCGCGUGAGUGAAGAAGGCCUUAGGGUUGUAAAGCUCUUUUACCAGGGACGAUAAUGACGGUACCUGAGAAUAGACC
rnacentral:rRNA from 1 species